UGGGGAAUCUUGGGCAAUGGGCGAAAGCCUGACCCAGCAACGCCGCGUGAAGGAUGAAGUAUUUCGGUAUGUAAACUUCGAAAGAAUAGGAAGAAUAAAUGACGGUACUAUUUAUAAGGUCCGGCUAACUACGUGCCAGCAGCCGCGGUAAUACGUAGGGACCAAGCGUUGUUCGGAUUUACUGGGCGUAAAGGGCGCGUAGGCGGCAAUUCAAGUCAUCUGUGAAAUCUCCGGGCUUAACUCGGAACGGUCAGAUGAUACUGCUUUGCUAGAGUGCAGAAGGGGCAAUCGGAAUUCUUGGUGUAGCGGUGAAAUGCGUAGAUAUCAAGAGGAACACCUGAGGUGAAGACGGGUUGCUGGGCUGACACUGACGCUGAGGCGCGAAAGCCAGGGGAGCAAACGGGAUUAGAUACCCCCGUAGUCCCUGAGCGGGCUGGCAAGGCGCAU
rnacentral:rRNA from 1 species